AACGAACGCUGGCGGCAGGCUUAACACAUGCAAGUCGAACGGACGUAGCAAUACGUUAGUGGCAGACGGGUGAGUAACGCGCGGGAAUGUGCCCUUUAGUUCGGAAUAACACAGAGAAAUUUGUGCUAAUACCGGAUAAUCCCGAGAGGGGAAAGAUUUAUCGCUGAAGGAGCAGCCCGCGUCUGAUUAGCUAGUUGGUGAGGUAAUGGCUCACCAAGGCGACGAUCAGUAGCUGGUCUGAGAGGAUGAUCAGCCACACUGGGACUGAGACACGGCCCAGACUCCUACGGGAGGCAGCAGUGGGGAAUAUUGGACAAUGGGGGCAACCCUGAUCCAGCCAUGCCGCGUGAGUGAUGAAGGCCUUAGGGUUGUAAAGCUCUUUUGUCCGGGAAGAUAAUGACUGUACCGGAAGAAUAAGCCCCGGCUAACUUCGUGCCAGCCGCCGCGGUAAAAC
rnacentral:rRNA from 1 species